rnacentral:rRNA from 1 species
UACGAAGGGGGCUAGCGUUGCUCGGAAUCACUGGGCGUAAAGGGUGCGUAGGCGGGUCUUUAAGUCAGGGGUGAAAUCCUGGAGCUCAACUCCAGAACUGCCUUUGAUACUGGAGAUCUUGAGUCCGGGAGAGGUGAGUGGAACUGCGAGUGUAGAGGUGAAAUUCGUAGAUAUUCGCAAGAACACCAGUGGCGAAGGCGGCUCACUGGCCCGGUACUGACGCUGAGGCACGAAAGCGUGGGGAGCAAACAGG